rnacentral:rRNA from 1 species
AUACGGAGGGUGCAAGCGUUACUCGGAAUCACUGGGCGUAAAGGACGCGUAGGCGGGAUGCCAAGUCUGAUGUGAAAUCCUACAGCUCAACUGUAGAACUGCAUUGGAAACUGGUAACCUAGAGUAUGGGAGGGGGAGAUGGAAUUAGUGGUGUAGGGGUAAAAUCCGUAGAUAUCACUAGGAAUACCUAAAGCGAAGGCGAUCUCCUGGAACAAUACUGACGCUAAGGCGUGAAAGCGUGGGGAGCAAACGGGAUUAGAUACCCUAGUAGUCC